rnacentral:rRNA from 1 species
GACAGAGGGGGCAAGCGUUGCUCGGAAUCACUGGGCGUAAAGGGCGCGUAGGCGGGAUGGCAAGUCAGUCGUGAAAUCUCUCGGCUCAACCGAGAAACGUCGGCUGAUACUGCCGUUCUUGAGGGAUGCAGAGGAGACUGGAAUUCCCGGUGUAGCGGUGAAAUGUGUAGAGAUCGGGAGGAACACCGGUGGCGAAGGCGGCCUGCUGGGCAGUAGCUGACACUGAGGCGCGACAGCGUGGGGAGCAAACAGG